rnacentral:lncRNA from 1 species
UGCCAAGGUAAGCCAGGGUGUGGCCAAGUAUUUAGAGGUCGAUUGGAAAUUACAUUGUAUUUACAGACCUCAAAGUUCAGGACAGGUAGGGUAAAUAAAUAGAACUCUAAAAGAGACCCUGACCAAAUUAACCAUGGAGACUGGCGCAGACUGGGUGACACUCCUUCCCUCUUGCUCUCUUCAGAGCAAGAAAUACCCCUUCCAGAUUCAGCCUUACCCCCUUUGAGAUCUUAUAUGGGGCCUCAGCCCCACUGACUGUAUUAGAUGAUGUUACUGAACCAACAUGUCAUAGUGCCAUAGUAAUAAUGAUUUGUGUGCCAGGCUAAAAGACCUACAGGUGAUACAGAAAGAAAUCUGCUCACAGCUGACAGCAGCCUAUGCCCCGGAGACCCCUGAGACAUCCCAUCAGUUCCAGGUUGCAGCUACACUGAGUCCAGACACUCGAGCCUCGCUGGAAAGGACCGAACCUGGUGCUGCUGACCACCCUGACAGCUGUCAAUUCUCAGCCCUCACCAGCCGUGUACUAGCUGUUGGGGCUGAGAGCUGGGACCUAGAGGGAAAUUCAGUCAUGUUUGUCCUGGGUUCUAUCAAGAUAGGUGUGGGAUAGGCUUGAUUUCCAUUACAAAUGAUGUAACAUUGCAUAUGUUAGUACUCUUAACACUUCUUGGGACUGUGCCUCAGGGAUCACAGUCCGUAUAAGCUUAGAAGUUCUAAAAGCUAGUCAUGACCUUGGUGGAUAGGCUUGGAUAGUGUCCAGGUUAGAAUCCUCAUGUU